UGCAAGUCGAACGGGAAGAGAUGAAGAGCUUGCUCUUUAUCGAAUCCAGUGGCAAACGGGUGAGUAACACGUAAACAACCUGCCUUCAGGAUGGGGACAACAGACGGAAACGACUGCUAAUACCGAAUACGUUCCACGGGCCGCAUGACCUGUGGAAGAAAGGGUAGCCUCUACCUGUAAGCUAUCGCCUGAAGAGGGGUUUGCGUCUGAUUAGGCAGUUGGUGAGGUAACGGCUCACCAAACCAACGAUCAGUAGCCGGUCUGAGAGGAUGAACGGCCACACUGGAACUGAGACACGGUCCAGACUCCUACGGGAGGCAGCAGUGGGGAAUCUUCCGCAAUGGACGAAAGUCUGACGGAGCAACGCCGCGUGAGUGAAGACGGCCUUCGGGUUGUAAAGCCCUGUGAUCCGGGACGAAAGAGCCUGAGGUAAAUAGCCUGAGGAAGUGACGGUACCGGAAAAGCAAGCCACGGCUAACUACGUGCCAGCAGCCGCGGUAAUACGUAGGUGGCAAGCGUUGUCCGGAAUUAUUAGGCGUAAAGCGCGCGCAGGCGGCUUACUAAGUCCAUCUUAAAAGUGCGGGGCUUAACCCCGUGAUGGGAUGGAAACUGGAAAGCUGGAGUAUCGGAGAGGAAAGUGGAAUUCCUAGUGUAGCGGUGAAAUGCGUAGAGAUUAGGAAGAACACCGGUGGCGAAGGCGACUUUCUGGACGAAAACUGACGCUGAGGCGCGAAAGCGUGGGGAGCAAACAGGAUUAGAUACCCUGGUAGUCCACGCCGUAAACGAUGGAUACUAGGUGUAGGAGGUAUCGACCCCUUCUGUGCCGGAGUUAACGCA
rnacentral:rRNA from 1 species